GGCCUUGUCUAUACUGGUUUAUAUAACUUCGAUUCAAAUGGAAAGGCGCAGCUGGCUGCGAAGGAGACAAACAUCCUUUUCGAAGAGUGGCUGACGACCUUAGCAAACCAAGGACAGCAAGUAUUGUUCCUCAGCCCGGAUAUCGAAUUGCAUCGAGACAAGAUUCUUGAAACGAUGGGGAAAUUGGCCAUCAUUCCUGAAUUGCCAUAUCAUUUUCCAAAACCGUCUUUAUUGGCUCUGGCAGGAGCGGAUAAGGAGACAGAGCCUGUACAUGCGUUGACACCGGAAUAUCUGCGGUUGGCAGAGGCAGAGUCAAAAUGGUUGGAAAAGCAAAGGGAGAAUUGAUAUGUCGGCCCCUGUAAUCAGACAAAUGAGGGUAGAGGAUAUCGAUCGGGUCAUGGCAGUAGAAGCUGCCAGCUUCGGAACCCCAUGGACAAAAGAUAUAUUCUAUAAAGAAAUACUUGAGAAUCCUUAUGCUAUUUAUUUCAUCAUGCAAGAAGGUAAACAAAUUGUUGGAUAUUGCGGACUAUGGGUUAUUUUUGAUGAAGCCCAAAUUACCAAUAUUGCCAUCCUGCCGCAGUGCAGAGGGAAGAAAUACGGGCAGACUUUGUUUCACUUUGUACUUAAUCAAGCUGUUGCCUUAGGAGCUGCCACAUUGUCAUUAGAGGUAAGAGUGUCCAAUAUAACGGCGCAGAAUAUGUAUAAAAAAUUCGGAUUAACUCCAGGUGGGAUCCGGCGUAACUAUUACACGGAUAAUGGAGAAGAUGCUUUAGUAAUGUGGGUGAAAUUAUGAAGAAUGAAGAUAAAUAUAUAUUGGGUAUUGAGACUAGCUGUGAUGAAACAGCGGCAGCAAUUGUUAAAAACGGUACAGAAAUAGUUGCAAAUGUAGUUGCAUCCCAAAUAGAAAGCCAUAAGCGUUUUGGUGGCGUCGUUCCGGAAAUAGCUUCGAGGCAUCAUGUUGAACAAAUAACGAUGGUGUUGGAAGAAACUUUUCAAAAGGCCGGCUUAACGAUUGAUGACAUGGAUGCAGUGACUGUUACAGAGGGUCCGGGCCUUGUCGGGGCAUUACUUAUCGGCGUAAAUACCGCAAAAGCUUUGGCCUUUGCUAAAAACAAACCAUUAGUAGGCGUCCAUCAUAUAGCAGGUCACAUUUAUGCCAAUCGCCUGUUUAAAGAAUUCACUUUCCCUUUACUUGCACUUGUCGUUUCCGGAGGGCAUACCGAAUUAAUCAUCAUGAAAGAACAUGGAUCAUACGAGGUAAUUGGCGAAACAAGAGAUGAUGCGGCUGGAGAGGCAUACGACAAAGUGGCACGAACAUUAAAACUGCCUUAUCCUGGUGGGCCGCAAAUCGAUAAGUUAUCGGCAGAAGGCGAGACCACUAUCGACUUUCCAAGGGCCUGGCUGGAGNGACGCAGGAGGAUAAGGAGAGCGCACGAUUGGAAAUGUGCGUCCAAGCAGUAAGAGAGUUGGAAUAGGCAAAUCCGUCCAACAAUCUCAAGCUGUUACGGGGAGGGAACAUAAGUACCGAAGCUCCGGAUUUCAUACUGCCAAGAAAAGCCUCUAGUGAGGAAAGAGGUGCCCGUACCGCAAACCGACACAGGUAGGCGAGGAGAGAAUCCUAAGGUGAGCGGGAGAACUCUCGUUAAGGAACUCGGCAAAAUGACCCCGUAACUUCGGGAGAAGGGGUGCUUCUUUUGCGAGAAGCCGCAGUGAAAAGGCCCAAGCGACUGUUUAGCAAAAACACAGGUCUCUGCGAAGCCGUAAGGCGAAGUAUAGGGGCUGACACCUGCCCGGUGCUGGAAGGUUAAGGGGACGCGUUAGCCGCAAGGCGAAGCGUUGAACCGAAGCCCCAGUAAACGGCGGCCGUAACUAUAACGGUCCUAAGGUAGCGAAAUUCCUUGUCGGGUAAGUUCCGACCCGCACGAAAGGUGCAACGACUUGGGCACUGUCUCAACGAGAGACCCGGUGAAAUUAUACUAUGCGUGAAGAUGCGCAUUACCCGCGACAGGACGGAAAGACCCCGUGGAGCUUUACUGUAGCCUGAUAUUGCAUGUUGGUACAGCUUGUACAGGAUAGGUGGGAGCCUUAGAAGCCGGAGCGCUAGCUUCGGUGGAGGCGUCGGUGGGAUACCACCCUGGCUGUACGGACAUUCUAACCCAGGACCGUGAUCCGGUCCGGAGACAGUGUCAGGUGGGCAGUUUGACUGGGGCGGUCGCCUCCUAAAGAGUAACGGAGGCGCCCAAAGGUUCCCUCAGAAUGGUUGGAAAUCAUUCGCAGAGUGUAAAGGCAGAAGGGAGCUUGACUGCGAGACCUACAAGUCGAGCAGGGACGAAAGUCGGGCUUAGUGAUCCGGCGGUGCCGUAUGGAAGGGCCGUCGCUCAACGGAUAAAAGCUACCCCGGGGAUAACAGGCUUAUCUCCCCCAAGAGUCCACAUCGACGGGGAGGUUUGGCACCUCGAUGUCGGCUCAUCGCAUCCUGGGGCUGUAGUCGGUCCCAAGGGUUGGGCUGUUCGCCCAUUAAAGCGGUACGCGAGCUGGGUUCAGAACGUCGUGAGACAGUUCGGUCCCUAUCCGUCGUGGGCGUUGGAAGUUUGAGAGGAGCUGUCCUUAGUACGAGAGGACCGGGAUGGACACACCGCUGGUGUACCAGUUGUUCCGCCAGGAGCAUAGCUGGGUAGCUACGUGUGGAAGGGAUAAGUGCUGAAAGCAUCUAAGCAUGAAGCCCCCCUCUAGAUGAGACUUCCCAUCAUUUUAAAUGAGUAAGAUCCCUCAGAGACGAUGAGGUUGAUAGGUCCGAGGUGGAAGCGUGGUGACACGUGCAGCUGACGGAUACUAAUCGAUCGAGGACUUAACUAU
rnacentral:rRNA from 1 species